rnacentral:rRNA from 1 species
GGUUUCUAGUGGCGGACGGGUGAGUAACGCGUGGGUAACCUGCCUUAUACAGGGGAUAACAACCAGAAAUGGUUGCUAAUACCGCAUAAGCGCACAGGACCGCAUGGUCCGGUGUGAAAAACUCCGGUGGUAUAAGAUGGACCCACGUUGGAUUAGCUAGUUGGCAGGGUAACGGCCUACCAAGGCGACGAUCCAUAGCCGGCCUGAGAGGGUGAACGGCCACAUUGGGACUGAGACACGGUCCAAACUCCUACGGGAGGCAGCAUG